rnacentral:rRNA from 1 species
AUUGAACGCUGGCGGCAUGCUUUACACAUGCAAGUCGAACGGCAGCGCGGGCUUCGGCCUGGCGGCGAGUGGCGAACGGGUGAGUAAUGCAUCGGAACGUGCCCAGUAGUGGGGGAUAGCCCGGCGAAAGCCGGAUUAAUACCGCAUACGACCUGAGGGUGAAAGCGGGGGACCGAAAGGCCUCGCGCUAUUGGAGCGGCCGAUGUCGGAUUAGCUAGUUGGUGGGGUAAAGGCUUACCAAGGCGACGAUCCGUAGCUGGUCUGAGAGGACGACCAGCCACACUGGGACUGAGACACGGCCCAGACUCCUACGGGAGGCAGCAGUGGGGAAUUUUGGACAAUGGGGGCAACCCUGAUCCAGCCAUGCCGCGUGCGAGAAGAAGGCCUUCGGGUUGUAAACCGCUUUUGUUCGGGAAGAAAUCCUCUGGGCUAAUACCCCGGGGGGAUGACGGUACCGGAAGAAUAAGCACCGGCUAACUACGU